UGGACAGGACGAGGGCAGAGCCUGCUUCCCGAUCUGAUGGAAGCCGUGAAGCCUUCUCUGCCUUAUGCUUGGCUCUGC
ensembl:miRNA